CAUCCGUGGGUUUUUGGAAAAUUAAUGAUUUGCAAUAACCAAUUACUGACAUAACUCAGCGUGGAAGGAAAUAAUUCAUGCUUGAUGGCAAAAAUAUUAAUUAUUAAACUGUUGGGUUUUCUUUUUUACAUAAGUUUUCUUCCUUGAUGGCAGUCUCUUCUUUCGAUGACUUGUACCUGAAAACAAAACUUCAUCUCCCUUAUCAUACGAGGAAUUUCAACGAUAUGGGCCCCCAGCUCUCUCAUAGUUUGUUACAAGGGAGACCUAACUUGUGGAGCAAUCAAAACAACAACCUUCAACAAAAAUAAACAAAGAUCGUGUGCACCCUCAAGCUUCUCACGACCGAGAUUUUUCCGACCUCGUGGUAGCUCGUCAGCUCGGUUCCACCAUUUAUGCUUCACCAAACUCUGUGUUCUGAGCUCCCACUUGUUUGUGCUUCACCGAAGCUGUUCAUAGACGAGCUCCGAGCUCCGAGCUUCGAGCUCCCAGCGCUUCUUCGACCCUCUAUUUCAGCUUUAAGUGAGCUUCGUGUUUGCAAUCCACCGCAAGGGCUUGUUCUUAAACUCCAUCUCAUCAAGCUCGCGGACUCCCUUUUGAAUCCAUCAGCUCAUGAAUAUGUCCGAUUCCAUGCUCACCAAUCUCCUCAGCAUUCACAAAUUCAUCAUAAAGACAAUACAAGAGACGUCAUAAAUCAGACCUUAAACAAUUCUGAUUCAUCCGUUAUCGUAGAUAACGUAGCCUGUAAAACUAUAUCAUAGUAUAAGCAUCCACCAGAAAUUGUUUGAAUAAUCGCCUUGAGUGGGGAAGAGUAUGAGACUCAUUUUUUCUUUCCUGGAUACAAAAUGCAAAGAAUUGUCUCAUAGAUAUAACAUCCUUCUUAAAAACUUUAUCUUCUUUUGUCGACCCUUUUUUAAUCCAAAGCAUAAAACCAUCCUCACCAUAUAGAAAUAUGAGAGGAUAUUGCAGUGGAAGAUGUAAAGGAUGAAGGCGUCCAGAUUGUUUUUGCAGAACAAUAGGAAGCUUUUUCAGCCCUAAACUUUCCAAAAAUAUUAAUCUUAGGUCUAAGUUUUUUGGUGUAAACAUACUUACUCUUUAUAAUAAUUUGAAUUGCAUACCUAAUCUAUCGUUUUUGUGCUUAAAUCAGUUUCCAUCCAUUCGAUGUCAAUGAUCCGUUAAACUACAUUUAAGUGGCGUACACGUAAGCAACGAUGUCGUUUUUAGCUUUCUGUGUGUUUAAAAAAAUUCUGGCAAAACGACAUCGCAGACGGACAACAAUAAAACAGCCUUCCUAGAUUUUUAUAUGUCUCUGAAGUUCUUAUUAUAGACCCUUCACCACAUCUACAUCUUUUCGGUAUUCCUCUAUCUGGUUCAGACACAUGAGGUCGGAAGCAAAUCUCUUCACAAAUUGCACACGCAAAACUUAGUAUCUAUGACCGAUUUUAGAAAAAAAGCAUCUUUGGAGACUACCGAACUCACAAUAACUGAAAAUUCAUUAUCACUUACCUGAAUUACUGGAGGAAGACAUCGAUAUUGAACAACCUUAGAUACUUGAUUUCAAAUCCCUAAAACAGUUUCGAACGACCUUAGAUGCUUGACUUCAAAUCCCUAAAUCGAUUAAGUAGCCGUCUGAGUCUCGAGAGUUUGAAUAAAAGAGAAGGAAAAAAAAACGACGUCACUUAAGGCCC
rnacentral:lncRNA from 1 species